CUUCGAUUCGAUCAGUGGAAGAGGCAAAAGUGGUCCGUAUUUGUUUCGCGUCGUGGUGUAAUUUAAAACUUGAUCGUCAAUCUGUAAUUUGUUCGAUCUAAGUGUCGGCAGUGUGUGAACCUAGUAUAAGAAAGGUGCGAGGCAGCGAAGCCAUUUGCCGUUACACCACCAUCCCAUUAGAGACCACUUUUGACCCCACUCGUCGGCGUCGAGGUAAUCCCGGGGCACACGUGGCCGGAAGAGGGCCGCGUCACGUUUCUUUUACGCGCCCUAGACAGGCAGGCUCAUCAAACCAUCAGCGUUCAACCGACAGCAGCGAGAACUAUUGUUCGACGAACGGACGCAUGUGCCGCAUUCAAGCGUAAGACCACGCGCCAGGUGAGAGAGUGGUACCAAACAUCGUUCGACACGUAAAGCCGUCGACAUCGGGCCGGAGUAGUGCGUGCGUAAGCAGCUCUGUGUGCUCAGCCGCCGACUCAUCACC